rnacentral:lncRNA from 1 species
GUUUCUCAUUGCACUUCAUGAUAAAGGCCUUCAGGAAAAGAAAUUACAAGAAUCAAGUCUGACCACUGUUUAUCAAAACUUCUAAGUCAUAGUUUCUUUCCCAGUACCCUAUGACUCAGGUUAUAUAUAUAUAUUCUAUGCUGAAGGAUGUUAACCUUUAAUCAAUCUGUUUUUUGAACACAUACAAGAAUACCUUGCAUUAUUUUCCUUUCACUUGUUUUGAAGAACCUCUUGCCUUUCCUCUUUCACCUCUUUGAUCUAAUGUGAUUUCUAGCACAGUUCUUAAACUCAAUAACUCAGCAUUAGAUUACUUAUACUUUUUCAUCCUUUCUUUAUCCUAGGUUUGUUGUUGUUGUUGUAGUUGUUUGUUUUGUUUUUGCUAGACUCCACACAUGCACUGCAGAAUGGUUUUGGUGCACCUGCAUUUUGAAACAACAUUGUAUAUCUUUGCAAACUUUGUGGAAGUGUAUGAUUGGGAUUCUGGAGAUAAAAUCAUCAGCGAUUCUAGCUUGGGGCCAAACAUGAUUCUAAAAAACAACUCUGGCUUGAUGAUGGAUAUAUGGUACUGAUGUCCAAAAUGAAAUAAACUAUACUAUGCAUAUAAUGUGCAUAUUAGUUUAUUACCCUCUAUUAUUCAAACAUUUCUAACUAUCCUGCAAAAGGCUGGUACUGAAGUUUAUUAUGUGACAGAAAACCUACAACUGUCUUGACAGUAGAAAAAAAAGAAUGAAUCUGCCUCUAAUUAGGCAUCAGUAACAAAACUUAAGCUUAGGAGGUACGUUGUCUAAUUACUUCUAAGUAUAAAUAAGAGAGUUUUGCACAUGAACAUAUUUAAGUGUGCCUUUUAAUCAAUG